GACGAACGCUGGCGGCGUGCCUAAUACAUGCAAGUCGAACGCUGAAGAGAGGAGCUUGCUCUUCUUGGAUGAGUUGCGAACGGGUGAGUAACGCGUAGGUAACCUGCCUGGUAGCGGGGGAUAACUAUUGGAAACGAUAGCUAAUACCGCAUAAAAUGGAUUAUCGCAUGAUAAUCCAUUGAAAGGUGCAAAUGCAUCACUACCAGAUGGACCUGCGUUGUAUUAGCUAGUUGGUGGGGUAACGGCUCACCAAGGCGACGAUGCAUAGCCGACCUGAGAGGGUGAUCGGCCACACUGGGACUGAGACACGGCCCAGACUCCUACGGGAGGCAGCAGUAGGGAAUCUUCGGCAAUGGACGGAAGUCUGACCGAGCAACGCCGCGUGAGUGAAGAAGGUUUUCGGAUCGUAAAGCUCUGUUGUAAGAGAAGAACGAGUGUGAGAGUGGAAAGUUCACACUGUGACGGUAUCUUACCAGAAAGGGACGGCUAACUACGUG
rnacentral:rRNA from 1 species